UACGGAGGGUGCGAGCGUUGUUCGGAAUCACUGGGCGUAAAGCGCGUGUAGGCGGCCCACUAAGUCUGAUGUGAAAGCCCGGGGCUCACCCCCGGAAGUGCAUUGGAAACUGGUGGACUCGAGUCCCGGAGAGGAGAGUGGAAUUCCUGGUGUAGCGGUGAAAUGCGUAGAUAUCAGGAGGAACACCGGUGGCGAAGGCAGCUCGCUGGGACGUGACUGACGCUGAGACGCGAAAGCGUGGGGAGCAAACAGG
rnacentral:rRNA from 1 species